rnacentral:rRNA from 1 species
GUUGAACGCUGGCGGCAUGCCUUACACAUGCAAGUCGAACGGAAACAGGUUAAGCUUGCGUGUUGCUAGCGGGUGGGUCAUGUAUCGGAACCUGGCGUAUCGUGGGGUUUAACUGCUCGAAAGAUCAGCUAAUACCGCAUACGACCUGAGAGUAAAUGCUGGUGCUCGCUGGGCCUCGGGCAAUUUCAGCGGUCGGUACCGGAUUAGCUGGUUGGUGGGGUAAUGGCUUACCAGGGCGUCGACCUGUAGCUGAUCUGAGAGCAGGAUCAGCCACACUGGGACUGAGACACGGCCCAGACUCCUACGGGAGGCAGCAGUGGGGAAUGUUGGACAAUGGGCGGAAGCCUGAUCCAGCCAUGCCGCGUGCGGGAAGAAGGCCUUCGGGUUGUAAACCGCUUUUGUCAGGGAAGAAAAGGUUCUGGCUAAGACGUGGGACUCGUGACGGUACCUGAUGAAUAAGCACCGGCUAACUACGUG